rnacentral:rRNA from 1 species
GUACGAUCGCAAGAUUAAAACUCAAAGGAAUUGACGGGGCCCCGCACAAGCAGCGGAGCAUGCGGGCUUAAUUCGACGCAACGCGAAGAACCUUACCAAGGCUUGACAUAUACAGGAAUAUGGCAGAGAUGUCAUAGCCGCAAGGUCUGUAUACAGGUGGUGCAUGGUUGUCGUCAGCUCGUGUCGUGAGAUGUUGGGUUAAGUCCCGCAACGAGCGCAACCCUCGUUCUGUGUUGCCAGCAUUCAGUUGGGGACUCACAGGAAACUGCCGGGGUUAACUCGGAGGAAGGUGGGGAUGACGUCAAAUCAUCAUGCCCCUUAUGUCUUGGGCUGCACGCAUGCUACAAUGGCUGGUACAAACGGCUGCGAUACCGCAAGGUGGAGCGAAUCCGAUAAAGCCAGUCUCAGUUCGGAUUGGGGUCUGCAACUCGACCCCAUGAAGUCGGAGUUGCUAGUAAUCGUAGAUCAGCAACGCUACGGUGAAUACGUUCCCGGGGCUUGUACACACCGCCCGUCACAUCACGAAAGUCGGUAACACCCAAAGUCAGUGGCCCAACCGCAAGGAGGGAGCUGCCAAAGGUGGGAUCGGUGAUUGGGAUG